rnacentral:rRNA from 1 species
AUCAUUUAGAGGAAGGAGAAGUUGUAACAAGAUUUCUAUAGGUGAACCUACAAAGGAUCAUUGUCGAU